GAGCCCGUAGCUCAGUUGGUAGAGCAUCGCCCUUUUAAGGCGGGUGUCGAUGGUUCGAGCCCAUCCGGGCUCA
rnacentral:tRNA from 1 species